rnacentral:rRNA from 1 species
AUUGAACGCUGGCGGCAGGCCUAACACAUGCAAGUCGAGCGAGCGGCGGACGGGUGAGUAAUGUCUGGGAAACUGCCUGAUGGAGGGGGAUAACUACUGGAAACGGUAGCUAAUACCGCAUACCAUCAGAUGUGCCCAGAUGGGAUUAGCUAGUAGGUGGGGUAAUGGCUCACCUAGGCGACGAUCCCUAGCUGGUCUGGGAGGAUGACCAGCCAACCUGGAACUGGGACACGGGCCAGACUCCGACGGGAGGCAGCGGUGGGGAAUGUUGAACAAUGGGCGCAAGCCUGAGGCAGCCAGGCCGCGUGUGUGAAGAAGGCCUUCGGGUUGUAAAGCACUUUCAGCGGGGAGGCGUUACCCGCAGAGGAAGCACCGGCUAACUCCGUGCCAGCAGCCGCGUAAUAC